rnacentral:ribozyme from 13 species
AAGAAAGAAAAAAAGGAAAAAGAGAAAAGAAAGAAGACACAAGGAAAAAAAGAGGGAGAGAGAGAGGGAAGAGAAUAUGAAUUGUUUUUGUGUUUCCUUUUUGUUUUGUGUUUUGUUUUUGGGGUUUGGUCAUUUUGAACAGGAGAAAAGAAGAAUUGU